UACAGAGGGUGCGAGCGUUAAUCGGAAUUACUGGGCGUAAAGCGCACGUAGUCGGCUUUGCAAGUCGGGUGUGAAAUCCCCGGGCUCAACCUGGGAACUGCAUCCGAGACUGCAUUACUAGAGUAUGGGAGAGGGAAGCGGAAUUUCUGGUGUAGCAGUGAAAUGCGUAGAUAUCAGAAGGAACAUCAGUGGCGAAGGCGGCUUCCUGGACCAAUACUGACGAUCAGGUGCGAAAGCGUGGGGAGCAAACAGG
rnacentral:rRNA from 1 species